AGAGUUUGAUCCUGGCUCAGGACUAACGCUGGCGGCGUGCCUAACACAUGCAAGUCGAACGAGGUAGCAAUACCUAGUGGCAGACGGGUGAGUAACGCGUAGAUAAUGUGCCCUCUUGCGGGGGAUACCGUUUCGAAAGGAACGUUAAUACCGCAUAAUACGGACUGAAGGCAUCUUCAGUCCGUCAAACUUCCGGGGCGGGAGGAGCAGUCUGCGUUCUAUCAGCUAGUUGGUGGGGUAAUGGCCUACCAAGGCGACGACGGAUAACUGAUCUGAGAGGAUGAUCAGUCCCACUGGAACUGAGACACGGUCCAGACUCCUACGGGAGGCAGCAGUGGGGAAUAUUGGACAAUGGGCGAAAGCCUGAUCCAGCCAUGCCGCGUGUGUGAAGAAGGUCUUCGGAUUGUAAAGCACUUUAAGUUGGGAGGAAGGGCAUUAACCUAAUACGUUGAUGUUUUGACGUUACCGACAGAAUAAGCACCGGCUAACUCUGUGCCAGCAGCCGCGGUAAUACAGAGGGUGCAAGCGUUAAUCGGAAUUACUGGGCGUAAAGCGCGCGUAGGUGGUUUGUUAAGUUGGAUGUGAAAGCCCUGGGCUCAACCUGGGAACUGCAUCCAAAACUGGCAAGCUAGAGUAGGGCAGAGGGUGGUGGAAUUUCCUGUGUAGCGGUGAAAUGCGUAGAUAUAGGAAGGAACACCAGUGGCGAAGGCGACCACCUGGGCUCAUACUGACACUGAGGUGCGAAAGCGUGGGGAGCAAACAGGAUUAGAUACCCUGGUAGUCCACGCCGUAAACGAUGUCAACUAGCCGUUGGAAGCCUUGAGCUUUUAGUGGCGCAGCUAACGCAUUUAAGUUGACGCUGGGGGAGUACGGCGCCAAGGUUAAAACUCAAACGAAUUGACGG
rnacentral:rRNA from 1 species